UACAGAGGUCUCAAGCGUUGUUCGGAUUCAUUGGGCGUAAAGGGUGUGUAGGUGGCGCGCUAAGUCGGGUGUGAAAUUUCGGAGCUUAACUCCGAAACUGCAUUCGAUACUGGCGUGCUUGAGGACUGGAGAGGAGACUGGAAUUCAUGGUGUAGCAGUGAAAUGCGCAGAUAUCGGGAGGAACACCAGUGGCGAAGGCGGCACUCUGGGCCGGAACUGACGCUGAGGAGCGAAAGCGUGGGGAGCGAACAGG
rnacentral:rRNA from 1 species